GCCGGGCGUGGUGGCGGUCGCCUGUAGUCCCAGCUACUCGGAGGCUGAGGCAGGAGAAUGGCAUGAGCCCAGGAGGCUGAGCUUGCAGUGAGCCGAGAGCGCGCCACUGCACUCCAGCCUGGGCGACAAAGCAAGACUCCGUCUCAA
ensembl:misc_RNA Metazoa_SRP Metazoan signal recognition particle RNA